rnacentral:rRNA from 1 species
AUACGGAGGAUGCAAGCGUUAUCCGGAUUUAUUGGGUUUAAAGGGUGCGUAGGCGGAUGAUUAAGCGUGAGGUGAAAUGCCACUGCUCAACAGUGGAACUGCCUCGCGAACUGGUUGUCUUGAAUGCUCCUGCCGUGGGAGGAAUGUGUGGUGUAGCGGUGAAAUGCAUAGAGAUCACACAGAACACCGAUUGCGAAGGCAUCUCACGAAGGGGUGAUUGACGCUGAGGCACGAAAGCGUGGGGAUCAAACAGGAUUAGAUACCCUGGUAGUCCACGCAGUAAACGAUGAUAACUAACCGCUGGGUCGUAGUGAUUCAGUGGCCAAGCGAAAGCGAUAAGUUAUCCACCUGGGGAGUACGACCGCAAGGUUGAAACUCAAAGGAAUUGACGGG